CAGAAGAACCACUGCAUUUCUAAAAUCAUCUGAACAUUUUAGAGGCUACAUUGAAUUACAUGAAACUGAAUGAUGACUGGGGUUGCAUUACGCCUGAGAUCUGCUUUUGGGUUCCACAGACAGAAAGUCAAACAGGCACCUCGGUAAGCUGACAUACAAGUUUGAACAAGAAAAAAAAAUCCCCCUGUAGACCUGAAAAUCAUUGAAGUGCCUGGACCAUCCACCAGUAAAGAUGAAAAACGUAAAAUUGUACUUUUCUAACUCGUUAACCUCACUUGUCCCUUGUGAAGAUUUUAUUAAUGAUAGCAUUUUAUGUUGCAGCAAGUAGGUGCGGUCACAUUUGUGAAAUUAGUGA